rnacentral:rRNA from 1 species
ACGGGAGGCAGCAGUCGGGAAUAUUGCGCAAUGGAGGAAACUCUGACGCAGUGACGCCGCGUGCAGGAAGAAGGUUUUCGGAUUGUAAACUGCUUUAGACAGGGAAGAACAAGGACAGUACCUGUAGAAUAAGCUCCGGCUAACUACGUGCCAGCAGCCGCGGUAAUACGUAGGGAGCGAGCGUUAUCCGGAUUUAUUGGGUGUAAAGGGUGCGUAGACGGGAAUGCAAGUUGUUUGUGAAAUCCCUCGGCUUAACUGAGGAACUGCAAGCAAAACUACAUUUCUUGAGUGCUGGAGAGGAAAGUGGAAUUCCUAGUGUAGCGGUGAAAUGCGUAGAUAUUAGGAGGAACACCAGUGGCGAAGGCGACUUUCUGGACAGUAACUGACGUUGAGGCACGAAAGUGUGGGGAGCAAACAGGAUUAGAUACCCUGGUA